GUAUUCUGCGUGGUCGAAUUCUGCUUUUGUUUGGGCGAUUACAUGAGCUUUGAGAAACAGAAGUCUUUCAACUCAGCAAUACAAUUACGGGAAGAUUGCAUUUGAUUCCUGCGAGGAAGAAAAGCCUACAGACAAAAAUAAAAGGGAUUUACAGAUUCUUCUAUAAUUUCCAUCAUUAGCUCCCAAAAACAAACAGCCCCCCUCAUCACAAUAAACAUCAGCAGCAUGAGGCGCAAUUCCCAGUGUACACCACUAAAUCCCUUAGGACCACUGACUGGAUACCAUUUCACCUUAAAGACCUCACACACCCUUUGACU